rnacentral:rRNA from 1 species
AUUGAACGCUGGCGGCAUGCUUUACACAUGCAAGUCGAACGGCAGCGCGGGCUUCGGCCUGGCGGCGAGUGGCGAACGGGUGAGUAAUGCAUCGGAACGUGCCCCGUAGUGGGGGAUAGCCCGGCGAAAGCCGGAUUAAUACCGCAUACGACCUGAGGGUGAAAGCGGGGGACCGAAAGGCCUCGCGCUAUUGGAGCGGCCGAUGUCGGAUUAGCUAGUUGGUGGGGUAAGGGCUUACCAAGGCGACGAUCCGUAGCUGGUCGGAGAGGACGACCAGCCACACUGGAACUGAGACACGGCCCAGACUCCUGCGGGAGGCAGCAGUGGGGAAUUUUGGACAAUGGGGGCAACCCUGAUCCAGCCAUGCCGCGUGCGGGAAGAAGGCCUUCGGGUUGUAAACCGCUUUUGUUCGGGAAGAAAUCCUCUGGGCUAAUACCCCGGGGGGAUGACGGUACCGGAAGAAUAAGCACCGGCUAACUACGUG